rnacentral:rRNA from 1 species
UACGUAGGGUGCGAGCGUUGUCCGGAAUUAUUGGGCGUAAAGAGCUCGUAGGCGGUCUGUCGCGUCGGAUGUGAAAAUCCAGGGCUCAACCCUGGACCUGCAUUCGAUACGGGCAGACUAGAGUUCGGUAGGGGAGACUGGAAUUCCUGGUGUAGCGGUGAAAUGCGCAGAUAUCAGGAGGAACACCGGUGGCGAAGGCGGGUCUCUGGGCCGAAACUGACGCUGAGGAGCGAAAGCGUGGGGAGCAAACAGG